rnacentral:pre_miRNA from 1 species
UAACUACUCCCUCCGUUCUGAAUUACUUGUCUUGGAUUUGUCUAGAUACAGAAGUAUCUAGCACUAAAAUGAGUCUAGAUACAUCCGUAUCUAGACAAAUCCAAGACAAGUAAUUCAGAACGGAGGGAGUAGUAU